rnacentral:misc_RNA from 1 species
UCCGGCUUGUCGCCGGCGGUCCCUCUAGAGCACCCGCUUUCACGGGUUUCACCCUGCAUGUCAAGCCCAGGUAAGGUUCUUCGCGUCGCAUCGAAUUAAGCCGCAUGCUCCGCCGCUUGUGCGGGCCCCCGUCAAUUCCUUUGAGUUUUAGCCUUGCGGCCGUACUCCCCAGGCGGGGUGCUUAAUGCGUUAGCUUCGGCACGGAUGGGGUCGAUGUCCACCCACACCUAGCACCCAACGUUUACGGCUAGGACUAC